CCCUUAGAUGUUCUGGGCUGCACGCGCGCUACACUGACGCACGCAACAGGUGCCUGCUCCGAGAGGACUGGGUAAUCAUUUGAGUGUGCGUCGUGAUGGGGAUAGAAUAUUGUAAUUAUUACUCUUCAACGAGGAAUUCCUAGUAAGCGCCAGUCAGCAGCUUGCGCUGAUUACGUCCCUGCCCUUUGUACACACCGCCCGUCGCUCCUACCGAUGGGUGAUCCGGUGAAUGAUUCGGACUUCAGCGGCUUCCCUGGGGUGCGCCGGAGAAAGUUUUGUGAACCUUAUCACUUGGAGGAAGGAGAAGUCGUAACA
rnacentral:rRNA from 1 species